UUGCAGUGAUGAUCUUAGGACACCGUUUAGAUGUUAACCAUGAAAAAUAACCAGUCUGAGCAAC